rnacentral:rRNA from 1 species
AGUGAACGCUGGCGGUAGGCCUAACACAUGCAAGUCGAACGGCAGCACAGGAGAGCUUGCUCUCUGGGUGGCGAGUGGCGGACGGGUGAGGAAUACAUCGGAAUCUACCUUUUCGUGGGGGAUAACGUAGGGAAACUUACGCUAAUACCGCAUACGACCUACGGGUGAAAGUGGGGGACCGCAAGGCCUCACGCGAUUAGAUGAGCCGAUGUCGGAUUAGCUAGUUGGCGGGGUAAAGGCCCACCAAGGCGACGAUCCGUAGCUGGUCUGAGAGGAUGAGCAGCCACACUGGAACUGAGACACGGUCCAGACGCCUACGGGAGGCAGCAGUAGGGAAUAUUGGACAAUGGGCGCAAGCCUGAUCCAGCCAUACCGCGUGGGUGAAGAAGGCCUUCGGGUUGUAAAGCCCUUUUGUUGGGAAAGAAAUCCAUCUGGUUAAUACCCGGGUGGGAUGACGGUACCCAAAGAAUAAGCACCGGCUAACUUCGUGCCAGCCGCCGCGGUAAAAC